GAGUUUGAUCUUGGCUCAGAUUGAACGCUAGCGGGAUGCCUUACACAUGCAAGUCGAACGGCAGCACGGACUUCGGUCUGGUGGCGAGUGGCGAACGGGUGAGUAAUGUAUCGGAACGUGCCUAGUAGCGGGGGGAGUAACUACGCGAAAGACGUAGCUAAUACCGCCAUACGCCCUACCGGGGAAAGGACAGGGGAGUCGCAAG
rnacentral:rRNA from 1 species